AGCAACUUGCAGGAAGCCCCCCUAUCCUCUGGGGGCAAAAAGACUAAAUUACAGUAGAUUCAGGGCACUGGAAACUACAGCCUCAUCAUUCAGCCUUGUCCAUAUACCUGCAGGUUGAAAUUUCUGGAGAAGGAAGAGCUAAGAGCUUGAGAGGACGAGGAGUGGGUACCAAACCAGAAUCCAAAGUCAGACUUCACUGCAUUCAGUAAUACCUUGUCAAGGUGGCACAGUGGUGAAGAAUCCACUUGUUAAUGCAGGAGAUACCCUGGGUCAGGAAGAUCCCUGAAGAAGGAAGUGGCAACUCACUCCAGUAUUCUUGCUUGAAAGAUUCCAUGGACAGAAGAGCCUGGCAGGGUCACAGAGCCAUGGACUGGGGUCAC
ensembl:lncRNA